rnacentral:rRNA from 1 species
UUGAUCCUGGCUCAGGAUGAACGCUGGCGGCGUGCCUAAUACAUGCAAGUCGAGCGAACGGACGAGAAGCUUGCUUCUCUGAUGUUAGCGGCGGACGGGUGAGUAACACGUGGAUAACCUACCUAUAAGACUGGGAUAACUUCGGGAAACCGGAGCUAAUACCGGAUAAUAUUUUGAACCGCAUGGUUCAAAAGUGAAAGACGGUCUUGCUGUCACUUAUAGAUGGAUCCGCGCUGCAUUAGCUAGUUGGUAAGGUAACGGCUUACCAAGGCAACGAUGCAUAGCCGACCUGAGAGGGUGAUCGGCCACACUGGAACUGAGACACGGUCCAGACUCCUACGGGAGGCAGCAGUAGGGAAUCUUCCGCAAUGGGCGAAAGCCUGACGGAGCAACGCCGCGUGAGUGAUGAAGGUCUUCGGAUCGUAAAACUCUGUUAUUAGGGAAGAACAUAUGUGUAAGUAACUGUGCACAUCUUGACGGUACCUAAUCAGAAAGCCACGGCUAACUACGUGCCAGCAGCCGCGGUAAUACGUAGGUGGCAAGCGUUAUCCGGAAUUAUUGGGCGUAAAGCGCGCGUAGGCGGUUUUUUAAGUCUGAUGUGAAAGCCCACGGCUCAACCGUGGAGGGUCAUUGGAAACUGGAAAACUUGAGUGCAGAAGAGGAAAGUGGAAUUCCAUGUGUAGCGGUGAAAUGCGCAGAGAUAUGGAGGAACACCAGUGGCGAAGGCGACUUUCUGGUCUGUAACUGACGCUGAUGUGCGAAAGCGUGGGGAUCAAACAGGAUUAGAUACCCUGGUAGUCCACGCCGUAAACGAUGAGUGCUAAGUGUUAGGGGGUUUCCGCCCCUUAGUGCUGCAGCUAACGCAUUAAGCACUCCGCCUGGGGAGUACGACCGCAAGGUUGAAACUCAAAGGAAUUGACGGGGACCCGCACAAGCGGUGGAGCAUGUGGUUUAAUUCGAAGCAACGCGAAGAACCUUACCAAAUCUUGACAUCCUUUGACAACUCUAGAGAUAGAGC